rnacentral:rRNA from 1 species
AGAAGCUAAGAAGAGCGUAGGGAGAAUGCCUUGGCAUUAGGAGCCGACGAAGGACGUGAUAAGCUGCGAUAAGCUGCGGGGAUCAGCAAGUAUGAAUUGAUCCGCAGAUUUCCGAAUGGAGCAAUCCGUAUGUGUAUGCACAUACAUCAUAUACUGAAUCAAAUAGGUAUAUGAGGGGAACCGCCUGAACUGAAACAUCUAAGUAGGGCGAGGAAGAGAAAUCAACCGAGAUUCUGUGAGUAGUGGCGAGCGAAAGCGGAAGAGGCUAAACCAUAGGUAGCAAUACUUAUGGGGUUUCGGACAGCAUUUAGUAUUGAUAAUUUCUAGUUGAAACGUGUGGGAAAACGUACCGAAGAGUGUGAGAGUCACGUAAGCGAAAGAGAGAAUCAGCGAGCUGUAUCCAAAGUACCGCGGGACACGUGAAACCCCGUGGGAAGAUGGGGGGACCAUCCUCCAAGCCUAAAUACUACCUAAUGACCGAUAGCGAAUAGUACUGUGAAGGAACGGUGAAAAGAACCCCGGGAGGGGAGUGAAAAAGAACCUGAAACCCUAUGCUUACAAGCACCGAGAGCACGUCAAAGUGUGAUCGGGUACCUUUUGUAGAAUGGUCCGGCGAGUUAUUGUAUGCGGCAAGGUUAAGUGCUUAAGGCACGGAGCCGAAGCGAGAGCAAGUCUGAACAGGGCGAAAAAGUCGUAUGCAAUAGACCCGAAACCGAGUGACCUAUCCAUGUCCAGGCUGAAGUGGAGGUAAAACUCCAUGGAGGGCCGAACACACGUCCGUUGAAAAGGCCGGUGAUGAGGUGUGGAUAGCGGAGAAAUUCCAAUCGAACUCGGAUAUAGCUGGUUCUCUCCGAAAUAGCUUUAGGGCUAGCCUCGUGAAAGAUUACUGGAGGUAAAGCACUGAAUGGGCUAGGGGUCGAAAGAUUACUGAACCCUAUCAAACUAAGAAUGCCAGAUAAUUGAUUCACGGGAGUCAGACAAUGUGAGAUAAGUCUCAUUGUCAAAAGGGAAACAGCCCAGACCCACAGCUAAGGUCCCUAAACAUUGUUAAGUGGAAAAGGAUGUGGGGUUGCAUAAACAACCAGGAUGUUGGCUUAGAAGCAGCCACUCAUUAAAAGAGUGCGUAAUAGCUCACUGGUCGAGUGACCCUGCGCCGAAAAUUCAACGGGGCUAAACAAUGUACCGAAGCUUGGGAUUCUAGAUUUAUCUAGAGUGGUAGGAGAGCGUCGAAUAAGGGGUGAAGUCAGAGCGGAAGCGCUGGUGGACUUUAUUCGAGUGAGAAUGCCGGAAUGAGUAGCGAGAAUUAUGUGAGAAUCAUAAUGGCCGAAAAUCUAAGGUUUCCUGAGGAAGGUUCGUCCGCUCAGGGUAAGCCGGGGGCUAAGGCGAGGCGGAGACGCGUAGCCGAUGCACAUACGGUUGAAAUUCCGUAGCCACCGAAAGAUUUAAGUACAGGGACGCUUUAGAAGUGAUGUAGCCGGGCGAUGGUUGACCCGGUCGUAAGGGAUCGAAAAUGAGUAGAGAAGUCAUCAUGGAAAGAGACAAGAAAAGCUGUAUGAAUAUCUUAGGUGCCCGUACCGCAAACCGACACAGGUAGAUAGGAAGAAGAUUCUAAGGCCAACGGGAGAAGGGUUGUUAAGGAACUCGGCAAGUUGACCCCGUAACUUAGGGAUAAGGGGUGCUCAAGUGAUUGAGCCGCAGAGAAUAGGCCCAGGCGACUGUUUAGCAAAAACACAGGUCUCUGCUAAAUCGAAAGAUGACGUAUAGGGGCUGACACCUGCCCGGUGCCGGAAGGUUAAGAGGAGAUGUGAGAGCAUUGAAUUGAAGCCCCGGUAAACGGCGGCCGUAACUAUAACGGUCCUAAGGUAGCGAAAUUCCUUGUCGGGU